UACGGGGGGAGCAAGCGUUGUUCGGAUUUACUGGGCGUAAAGGGCGCGUAGGCGGCCAGCACAAGUCAGUUGUGAAAUCUCCGAGCUUAACUCGGAAAGGUCAACUGAUACUGUGCGGCUAGAGUGCGGAAGGGGCAACUGGAAUUCUCGGUGUAGCGGUGAAAUGCGCAGAUAUCAGGAGGAACACCGGUGGCGAAGGCGGGUCUCUGGGCAACAACUGACGCUGAGGAGCGAAAGCGUGGGGAGCGAACAGG
rnacentral:rRNA from 1 species